rnacentral:rRNA from 1 species
UACGUAGGGGGGCAAGCGUUGUCCGGAUUUAUUGGGCGUAAAGAGCUCGUAGGCGGUGUGUCGCGUCGGCCGUGAAAACCUGCAGCUCAACUGUGGGCUUGCGGUCGAUACGGGCAUCACUGGAGUUCGGCAGGGGAGAGUGGAAUUCCUGGUGUAGCGGUGAAAUGCGCAGAUAUCAGGAGGAACACCCGGUGGCGAAGGCGGGCUCUGGCG